GACUGCGGAGGAUCAUUACUGAACUGUCGACACGAGUUGUUGCUGGUCCUCANAUGGGGGCAUGUGCACNCUCUGUUUACACANCCACUCACACCUGUGCACCCUCUGUAGUUCU
rnacentral:misc_RNA from 1 species